rnacentral:rRNA from 1 species
UGGGGAAUCUUGGUCAAUGGGCGAAAGCCUGAACCAGCGACGCCGCGUGAGUGAUGAAGGCCUUCGGGUUGUAAAGCUCUGUGGGGCGAGACGAAAGCCUACGUUCUAACAGGACGUAGUUUGACGGUAUCGCCUUAGCAAGCACCGGCUAACUCUGUGCCAGCAGCCGCGGUAAGACAGAGGGUGCAAACGUUGCUCGGAAUCACUGGGCGUAAAGGGCGUGUAGGCGGGAAGGAAAGUCAGAUGUGAAAUCCCUGGGCUCAACCCAGGAACUGCAUUUGAAACUCCCUUUCUUGAGUGUCGGAGAGGAAAGUGGAAUUCCUGGUGUAGAGGUGAAAUUCGUAGAUAUCAGGAGGAACACCGGUGGCGAAGGCGGCUUUCUGGACGACAACUGACGCUGAGACGCGAAAGCGUGGGGAGCAAACAG